UACGUAGGGUGCGAGCGUUGUCCGGAAUUACUGGGCGUAAAGAGCUCGUAGGUGGUUUGUCGCGUUGUUCGUGAAAACCGGGGGCUUAACCCUCGGCGUGCGGGCGAUACGGGCAGACUUGAGUACUACAGGGGAGACUGGAAUUCCUGGUGUAGCGGUGGAAUGCGCAGAUAUCAGGAGGAACACCGGUGGCGAAGGCGGGUCUCUGGGCAGUAACUGACGCUGAGGAGCGAAAGCGUGGGGAGCGAACAGG
rnacentral:rRNA from 1 species